AGAGGAUUUUUGCCUUUUGAAGACUUCAAGAGAGCUUUCAAUUCUGUUUCUUCAAAGUUAUCUGAGAAAAUCUUAUUUGAAGCCACCAGUCAUACUCAACAAAAUGAUCAGGGGUUUAUUAUACACCUGAUGUGCACCUGAGUAGAAUGCCAUUGAACCAUAAAAACUCAACAUUCUGGACACAGGAGUUGCAGAAGUGGCUGCUAAGGGACUACCCACACAGAUGCUGAUGAUUUUUAAUUGCAUUGGAUGAUAGAAACUGCAAAAAAGACUGACCCAACCAACUGAUUUCAAAUGAGUUGAACAAAAUUAUUGAACAGCCAUUAGAUGACAACAGCUCAUGCUCAUUUUCAUCCGAAGCUGAACCUUUACUCUGAACGGAAAAUUAUUACUUAAGUUCUUUCA